rnacentral:rRNA from 1 species
CGUUAUCCGGAUUUUGGGUUUAAGGGUGCGUAGGCGGCUUAUUAAGUCAGGGGUGAAAGACGGUGGCUCAACCAUCGCAGUGCCCUUGAUACUGAUGAGCUUGAAUACACUAGAGGUAGGCGGAAUGUGACAAGUAGCGGUGAAAUGCAUAGAUAUGUCACAGAACACCGAUUGCGAAGGCAGCUUACUAUGGUGUCAUUGACGCUGAGGCACGAAAGCGUGGGGAUCAAACAGGAUUAGAUACCCUGGUAGUCCACGCCCUAAACGAUGAAUACUCGCUGUUAGCGAUACACAGUUAGCGGCUAAGCGAAAGCGUUAAGUAUUCCACCUGGGGAGUACGCCCGCAAGGGUGAAACUCAAAGGAAUUGACGGGGGCCCGCACAAGCGGAGGAGCAUGUGGUUUAAUUCGAUGAUACGCGAGGAACCUUACCCGGGCUUGAAAGUUAGUGAAUGAGAUAGAGAUAUUUCAGUGAGCAAUCACACGAAACUAGGUGCUGCAUGGCUGUCGUCAGCUCGUGCCGUGAGGUGUUGGGUUAAGUCCCGCAACGAGCGCAACCCCUAUGUUUAGUUGCCAGCACGUUAAGGUGGGGACUCUAAACAGACUGCCUGUGCAAACAGAGAGGAAGGAGGGGACGACGUCAAGUCAUCAUGGCCCUUACGUCCGGGGCUACACACGUGCUACAAUGGAUGGUACAGAGGGCAGCAAGCUGGCAACAGCAAGCAAAUCUCAAAAAGCCAUUCACAGUUCGGAUAGAGGUCUGCAACUCGACCUCUUGAAGUUGGAUUCGCUAGUAAUCGCGUAUCACAAUGACGCGGUGAAUACGUUCC